rnacentral:rRNA from 1 species
AAAACAUCGCCUCCUGCAAUACAAUCAAGUAUAGGAGGUCCAGCCUGCCCAGUGACCACAAGUUCAACGGCCGCGGUAUUUUGACCGUGCAAAGGUAGCGCAAUCACUUGUCUUUUAAAUAGAGACCUGUAUGAAUGGCUAAACGAGGGCUUAACUGUCUCCCUUUUCAGGUCAGUGAAAUUGAUCUACCCGUGCAGAAGCGGGUAUAACAAUACAAGACGAGAAGACCCUUUGGAGCUUAAGGUACAAAACUCAACCACGUCAAGCAACUUAAUAAAAAGUAAAAACUUUGUGAAACAUGAGAUUUUACCUUCGGUUGGGGCGACCGCGGAGGAAAAAAAAGCCUCCAAGUGGACCGGGACAAACUCCUAAAACCAAGAGAAACAUCUCUAAGCCACAGAACAUCUGACCAAACAUGAUCCGGCCACUAGGGCCGAUCAACGAACCAAGUUACCCUAGGGAUAACAGCGCAAUCCCCUCCCAGAGUCCAUAUCGACGAGGGGGUUUACGACCUCGAUGUUGGAUCAGGACAUCCUAAUGGUGCAGCCGCUAUUAAGGGUUCGUUUGUUCAACGAUUAAAGUCCUACGUGA